rnacentral:rRNA from 1 species
GACGAACGCUGGCGGCGUGCUUAACACAUGCAAGUCGUACGGUAAGGCCCUUUCGGGGGUCCACGAGUGGCGAACGGGUGAGUAACACGUGAGUAACCUGCCCACAACUUUGGGAUAACGCUAGGAAACUGGUGCUAAUACUGGAUAUGUGCUCCUGCUGCAUGGUGGGGGUUGGAAAGCUCCGGCGGUUGUGGAUGGACUCGCGGCCUAUCAGCUUGUUGGUGGGGUAGUGGCCUACCAAGGCGGCGACGGGUAGCCGGCCUGAGAGGGUGACCGGCCACAUUGGGACUGAGAUACGGCCCAGACUCCUACGGGAGGCAGCAGUGGGGAAUAUUGCACAAGGGGCGCAAGCCUGAUGCAGCAACGCCGCGUGCGGGAUGACGGCCUUCGGGUUGUAAACCGCUUUCAGCAGGGACGAAGCUUUUUGUGACGGUACCUGCAGAAGAAGCACCGGCUAACUACGUG